rnacentral:rRNA from 1 species
AAUCUGUUUGAUCCUGGCAGAAGCUACUGCUAUUGGGAUUCGAUUAAGCCAUGCAAGUCGAACGAAUUUAGAUUCGUGGCGUACGGCUC